AUGGAUGAGGAUUACCGAUGUUUCCACCAGCCGUUGCGAUCGUCUUGCUAUCCUCGAUAUCAGUCCCCGAUCGCCAUUGCCGCCGCACAAGAAGGGGAAGGAGAAGGGACAGGAAGGGGAACCGUCAAGGGAGGCAGCGGUUUGGUGAUGAGGUUUAAGAGCUGCGAUGGUAGGGCCCGUGGUCAGUCCAGCUGGCAGCCUCCCUCCUCUCUUGUUUUGGCUUUCCACUCCCGAGCUAGGGCCGCCGCCGCCGCCGCCGGCCGCCGCUGCCGCCCCAUCGCUCCUCCGGCGCUGGCCGUCGAAGGAAGGUCAUCUUCUCCUCUUGGUGGCUUCCUCAUAGCAAGGUUGGGCGCUACUCCUCCGCACAACCCCGUCGGCAAUAACGAGAAGGCGGGCGGCGCCGCGAGCUCUCGUCCCGAGGAAACCGCAGGAGGACGAGGAUCGCUCAACAGAUGGUUUCACAGAUGUUUCACUGUCAGCCCUGAAUCCGUGACCACACUGCCGGGUCAUAAGGCGGUGGUGAACUGCGCGCUGUGGCUUCCAACCAAGAAGGAUGCACUCCAGUUAGCUGGUGGUUUGUUAAUUUGUUCCUCUGUAAUUCGAAGCAGGGAGACACACUAUCUAUUGUCCGGAAGUUCUGAUGGUGCUAUUAUGGCGUGGAAGAUUGGUUCUGGAAUAGGCAAGCUAGCUCCUGGGUACAUGGACUCCCUACAAAAAAAGCUUGGAUCCACUAUGGAUCAUCUGCUGCCUUGGAGUGACCAUGGCCAAGAAGACGUUCGUACCCGUUCCCUGGUGCUGUCCGGCGGUUUGAGGCCAGCCGCAGCCACGUCGUCGACGGCAUCCAUCAAUCCUGGAUCCUUCGACAUCUGGAUAGACCGUUGCUCCCUCAUCGACUACGACGAUGGGCUCAUCAAUAUCACCUGCCACAACAUCGACAUCACCGUCUCCAUAGACAACGUUACACUGGCUUCUAUCUCUGUGAGGUCAGUAGCAAUAUGGUCAUUUGAUGCAACAAACCAGAGGAACAAGUCCAGGUUCAUCAAUCAUAGUUGUGAACCAAACACGGAGAUGCAGAAAUGGACUAGAUGUCCACGACGACGGUGCCGAACGCCGGCUGGACGGGCGGUUAGAAGGUCUCCAGCUCAUCCUCCUCCUGCUCGACCUUAUCCAUGUAGGCGAACAUCUCCGCUUCCUCCACGGCCUCUUGCGCCUCUAUCUCCUGCCGGCGACGUCGUCUUCCCUCUGCAACCAUUGAGGAUGGCCUGCUGCUCCGCCUACAGAUCCCCGUCGCCAGUGUCUCCCACAUCCUCCUCCUCUGGCUCCUCCUCCUCCUCCUCCACCCCCAUCCCCACCACCACCACCACCUCCUCCUCCUCCUCCUUCGGAUCCACUGCAUCCGGAGGUAGCCCCGCGGCGAUUCGGGCUGCGCGCCUUGCCCGAAUCUGCUCAAGGAGCUUGAGCUGGCGCUCCGGCGUCAGAAAGGGCUCGCUCCUUGUCCGGAGGUGUGGGGGCAUGGCUACUAGGUGGACGUGUGAAGUGGAAAGUGGCGACAGCGGUGGACAAGAGGAGGAAAAUGUGGAUGGAUGGUAG
rnacentral:rRNA from 1 species